AUGCACAGGAAACCCCUUGUCAUUCCUGGCAGGUGGCUGCCCCCGAGGCAGCGCCGGCUCGGGCUCCCUGCCUACCUCCUCCCACCCCCCGGGGCACAGGUGGACCACAAGCAUGGAGGGGCCAGCGGCACUGAGCGGGCGCCAGGUGAGUGGCCGGGCCCUGCUCUCGGGAACAGGGGCUCUGGCUGCCAGCCCACUCAGGGCACCCCCGUCCCAUGGGGAGUGCUUGGUUCCAGUCCCACUUCUGGCUCCCGACAACAGCUGCCACUGCUCAGGUACUCGGGUCCCACACUCAUGUGGGAGACCUGGAUGAAGUUCCACGUCCUGGCUUCGUACCAGCCUAGUCCCGGUCAUGCAGGCAUUUGGGCAGGGAACUCUGUCUGCCUGUGUCCCUAUCUCUGGUUCUCUUCCUGUCUGCCUCUGUCUCUGCCUGCCCCUCUGUUGGUCUGCCUGUCCCCCUCUGGUCUGUGUGUCUGUCCCUGUGUCUACCUGCCUGCCCCUCUGUCAGCCUGUCCCUCUGUCUACCUGUCUGUCCCGCUGUCAGCCUGUCCCUCUGUCUACCUGAGUGCUUGUCCCACUGUCAGCCUGUCCCUCUGUCUACCUGUCUGCCCCUCUGUCUACCUGAGUGCCUGCCCCGCUGUCAGCCUGUCCCUCUGUCUACCUGUCUGCCCCUCUGUCAGCCUGUCUCUACCUGUCUGUCCCGCUGCCUGUCUCUGUCUACCUGUCUGUCCCGUUGUCUGCCUGUCCCUCUGUCUACCUGUCUGCCCCUCUGUCAGCCUGUCCUUCUGUCUACCUGUCUGUCUGCCCCUCUGUCUACCUGAGUGCCUGCCCCGCUGUCAGCCUGUCCCUCUGUCUACCUGUCUGCCUCUCUGUCAGCCUGUCUCUACCUGUCUGUCCCGCUGACUACCUGUCUCUGUCUGUCCCGCUGUCUCUGUCCCUCUGUCUACCUGUCUGUCCCGCUGCCUGCCUGCCCCUGUCUGCCUGACCCUCUGUCUCUGUCCCCCUGUCUAACUGUCUGCCCUGCUGUCUGCCUGUCUCUGUCUGUCCCGCUACCUGCCUGUCCCUCUGUCUACCUGUCUGUCCCACUGUCUGCCUGCCCCUCUGUCUACUUGAGUCUCUGCCCCACUGUCAGCCUGUCCCCCUGUCUAUCUGUCUGCCCGCUGCCUGCCUGCCUGCCCCUCUGUCCACUGCCUCUGUCCUCUGCCUGCCACUUUUCCUCUGCCUCUCACGCUGCUGCAUGAAGGACAGGGUGGGUGUGGGAUGCGAGUCCUGGCGUCGUGUCCUUCAGGCUGGACCUGUGGGACCUUCCAGGACAAUCUCAGGGAACGGAGCCUUGGGAGCCCCGGGCCUGCCGGGCCGCCGCUGCGCCCCCACGCUGCCCGAGGCCGGCCUCUGCCCACCUCCUUGUUGCCAGCUGGGUUCUUGCCGUCACUGCCACCUUGCCGGUGCGUGGUGAUCCCUGGUGCUUAAUUAGACAUUGUCCUCACCGUGAAAGUCAGUGCAAUCCCAGGGGAGCCCCAUGCCCGGGCAGGUGCAGACAGGUGACUCCGUGGGCGGAGCCCUCCUGACUCACCUGGUGCAUUCCCCAGGAGGCGCUGCUUACAGCUGGGCCGGUGGCUCCCAGGGCUGGCUGUGCACGCUGGGAACCAACACCGACGGCAGGUUUAGCUCAGUUCGCCUAAUUUCAAUCCAUAAGGCAGAUCCUAAACGGUCCUGGCAGAUUUUACGAAGAACCUCCUGUGUCUCGCCCCAUCCGGUGCUCUGUUCCUGCUACAACACCAACUCCAUUCAACCAAGCUUCAGAAACAGGCCCGAGGGCCCACAUCCAGCCCACGCCUGACCCGCGACCCCUUCCGACUGCUGGCCCAUUUCCCAAAGGAGAGCCCAGCGGCAAAGGGUCCGU
rnacentral:lncRNA from 1 species